GGACACAGAUCCUCUCAUCGCUGGAUGAUUGUGCUUAACACUUUUCCUCCCUGGACCUGUGACCUCCCCGCUGUGUGGUUGUGUGUGAGUUGGAGUAAGAGGAGGGGACGAGUGCGCAAGCGUUUUCCCCUGGAUCUUCCCUGGGACCCUUCUCCUACCCGGAUUUCCCCCACUGUACAUAUUCUGCACUUGGUGUUGUAAAUAAACUCUGUGUUGGAACUGA